UCUUUAGUGGCGGGCGGGUGAGUAACGCGUGGGUAACCUGCCUUACACAGGGGGAUAACACUUAGAAAUAGGUGCUAAUACCGCAUAAGCGCACAGUCCCGCAUGGGACAGUGUGAAAAACUGAGGUGGUGUAAGAUGGACCCGCGUCUGAUUAGCUAGUUGGUGGGGUAACGGCCCACCAAGGCGACGAUCAGUAGCCGGCCUGAGAGGGUGGACGGCCACAUUGGGACUGAGACACGGCCCAAACUCCUACGGAAGGCAGCAG
rnacentral:rRNA from 1 species